UACCCGCUGAACUUAAGCAUAUCAAUAAGCGGAGGAAAAGAAACCAACAGGGAUUGCCUCAGUAACGGCGAGUGAAGCGGCAACAGCUCAAAUUUGAAAUCUGGCCCUUUCAGGGUCCGAGUUGUAAUUUGCAGAGGACGCUUCGGGUACGACGCCGGUCUAAGUUCCUUGGAACAGGACGUCACAGAGGGUGAGAAUCCCGUACGUGACCGGCCGCCACGCCCGUGUGAAGCUCCUUCGACGAGUCGAGUUGUUUGGGAAUGCAGCUCAAAAUGGGUGGUAAAUUUCAUCUAAAGCUAAAUAUUGGCCAGAGACCGAUAGCGCACAAGUAGAGUGAUCGAAAGAUGAAAAGCACUUUGGAAAGAGAGUCAAACAGUACGUGAAAUUGUUGAAAGGGAAGCGCUUGCAACCAGACUUGCCCGCGGGCGAUCAACCGGUAUUUUUACCGGUGCACUCGCCCGUGGUCAGGCCAGCAUCGGUUUGGGCGGCCGGACAAAGCCCCCUGGAAUGUAGCUCCUCUCGGGGAGUGUUAUAGCCAUGGGUGGAAUGCGGCCCGCCCGGACCGAGGACCGCGCUUCGGCUAGGAUGCUGGCGUAAUGGUUGUAAGCGACCCGUCUUGAAACACGGACCA
rnacentral:rRNA from 1 species